rnacentral:lncRNA from 1 species
UCUUUUCGAAUUGGGCCAAACAAAUUCGGUGGCCCAGUUGCUCCACAAGCUUGCCCUAAAUUCCCCUUUAAUUACCCAAUUCUUUUCUUAUUUUUGAGAGAGGACAAAUGAUGAGAGAGAACACACGGACAAAGCCCCCUCCCUCUUUGACAAAAAAAAAAAACUAGCAGCCCCAUCUCUCACCUCACUCUCAACAGAGGGACCGAAAAUACACACUCAGACAUUCUCAUUCUCAUUCUCAUCUCUCUCACUCGGAUACACACAAAAUUCUCACCCGUCAUUCAUGGCAAUAGAGAGAGACAUACCCUUACCCUCAUCUUCAUACACCACAUGUUCAAAGCUUGGACUAGCAGAUGAAAACGGAAUUUUGAAAUUGAAAAGGGAGAUUCAGAUCUGAAAUUUUCGAAAACAAAUGCACACGAAAUAACUGAGAAAGGAUUCUGAAGUUCAAAAAAAAAAAUCAAAGUCAGAUGUGGGAACAAAAACUUCCGAAAAAACCAAAUUGAAAUAAGGAUUUCAAGGGGAGGGGAGUUAGCUGAAAUUUUGCUAUUUGCUGUUGAUUGUUGCUCAAAUGAACUCAAUGCGUUAGAAAUCAUUGUUGUUUGCUGCUGUAUCUUCUGAUUUCUGCUUGUGUCGAGAUCUGUUUCAUUCUCUUAGCCUUUACAUGGCACCUUAAGCAAUUUGUGACUUCUAGGUGCGUUUCUUCAGCUUUGUAUUUUAAUUUCGAAAAGCAAUGAAACUUCGAGUUUUCUGUUAUGUUAUUUUGUUUGAUUUAGUCUCCGAUUUUAGUUAUUGGUUGUGGACUGAAUUACUUGAAGUAUUUGAUAUAAUGAUUGGAUGAACAUUUAAAGCAUGCUUUGAAUUUAAUGCUAAUUUUGAAGACCGGUGGUCCGCACUUUUAAUUGAGUUGUUCCACUAAUUAAUUUGGUAUAAUGCUCUAUUUAUUAAUUCAUUUUUGAAGCAACUCACCGCGCUAUUGGGAUGAUUUAUAAAUCAGCAAUUAACUCAUAUUGAAUGUUCAAACUGUUAAUGGGUUGAAAAGGGCUGCACAAUCUUGAUUCACGAAUCUCAAUUCGUUUUCUAAUUUAAUGUCGGCAUCUCGUUAUGUAGCAGCAUAAUCUAACUUUGGUAAAUAGGAAAUUCAAUCCACAUGUCUUCAGAAAUUAGUAUCUAUGAGAUCACGCUUCACGGCAAAUCUUAAAUGUAGAAGUAGUACACUUAUAAACUUUGUAGCUUGCUUUAGGCGCGAUUAAUAAAUCAUCGUGGUCAUGAGUACGGUUCUUAUGACAUGGUCACGAUACGUAAAUCUCAAUUCGAGUGUACGUUUUACAUGACUCUACCAGAACUUCAAAUAAUAAUAAAAAUUAACAUGUUGUAAAUCGUGAGUGCAUUUCACGUGGCGCGAUUCACAAUGUGUACAAAAACAAACAAGUGCGCGACAUCGCGACUUGUUCAAACAAAUUUCAUAAAUGCUAAAAAGCGAUUUAAAAAGUAAAGNNNNNNNNNNNNNNNNNNNNNNNNNNNNNNNNNNNNNNNNNNNNNNNNNNNNNNNNNNNNNNNNNNNNNNNNNNNNNNNNNNNNNNNNNNNNNNNNNNNNNNNNNNNNNNNNNNNNNNNNNNNNNNNNNNNNNNNNNNNNNNNNNNNNNNNNNNNNNNNNNNNNNNNNNNNNNNNNNNNNNNNNNNNNNNNNNNNNNNNNNNNNNNNNNNNNNNNNNNNNNNNNNNNNNNNNNNNNNNNNNNNNNNNNNNNNNNNNNNNNNNNNNNNNNNNNNNNNNNNNNNNNNNNNNAAUAAGAGUCAAAUUUCUUCGAUUUGGGAUUUAAAAUAAACCGGUGACUUGGGACACCAUAAAUUAUUCCAAGUGGCGACUCUGAACUAAAUAAAUAAUCUCAUUUCGAAUAAUGUCGCUUAAAUUAGAAAAACUCCAUAUCCCUUCAGGAAAAAGGAUGUGUGAUACUUAGUAUGGUUGAUUUCGAUGUAAUAUUGGGUAUGGAUUGGUUGUAUCCAUAUCAUGCUGUUCUGGACUGUAACGCUAAAAUUGUGACGUUGUCGAUGUCGGGGUUGCCGAGGAUCGAGUAGAGAUGUUCUCUAGAUUAUGUUCCCAACAGGGUAAUUUCUUAUUUGAAGGCCCAACUGAUGGUUGGGAAGGGGGUGUUUGUCAUAUUUGGCCUUUGUGAGAGAUGUUGAUGCAGACACUCCUACUAUUGAUUCUUUACCGGUAGUACGAUAUUUUCCGAAUAUAUUUCCUGCAGACCUGCCGGUAUGUCACCCGACAGAGAUAUUGAAUUUGGUAUUGACUUGGUGUUGGUCACUCAACCCAUUUCUAUUCCUCCAUAUUGUAUGGCACCAGCUGAAUUGAAAGAAUUGAAAGAGCAACUCGAGGAACUCUUGAUAAGGGGUUUAUUAAGCUUAGUGUGUCGCCUUGGGGUGCACCGGUUAUGUUUGUGAAAAAGAAAGACGGUACUAUGCGGAUGUACAUCGACUACAAGCAGUUGAAAGAAGUUACAAUCAAGAACAAGUAUCAUUUACCACGCAUUGAUGAUUUAUUUGACUAACUUCAGGGAGCGAGGGUGUUCUCCAAAAUUGAUUUGAGGUUUGGGUAUCACCGGUUGAAGAUUCGAGAUUCAAAUAUUUUAAAGAUGACAUUCAAGACCCGCUAUGGUCACUGUGAAUUUCUCGUGAUGUCUUUUGGGCUGACCAACACCCCAACAACAUUCAUACACUUGAUAACAAUGUAUUUUAGCCAUAUCUUGAUUCGUUUGUCGUAGUAUUUAUUGGUGAUAUCCAGGUGUACUCACGUAGCAUAAGGAGCAUGCACAACACUUGAGUAUUGUAUUACAGAGGUUGAGGGAGGAGAAACUUUAUGCCAAAUUCUCCAAGUGUGAGUUAUGGCUUAUUUCAGUGGCGCUCUUGGGGCACGUGGUGUCUAGCGAGGGUAUUUGUGUGGAUCCAAGGAAGAUAGUGGCAGUUCAGAAUUGGCCCAGGUCAUCUUCAGCUACUGAAAUUCGGAGUUUUCUUGGUUUGGCCGGGUAUUAUAGUCUCUUUGUGGAGGGUUUCUCGUCUAUUGCAGCGCCUAUGACUAAAUUGACCCAGAAAGGUGCUCCAUUCAAGUGGUCGAAUGAGUGUGAAGAUAGCUUUUAGAAGCUCAAGACUACUUUGACCACAACUUCAGUUCUAGUUUUGCCUUCAGCGUCAUGCUCUUAUAUAGUGUAUUGUGAUGAUUCUCGUAUUGGUAUUGGGUGUGUCUUAAUUCAGGAUAGUAGAGUGAUUGCUUAUGCUUCCAUCCAGUUGAAGCCACAUGAAAAGAAUUACCUUGUUCAUGAUUUAGAGUUGUUAGCCAUUGUUCAUGCAUUAAAUAUUUGGAGGCACUAUCUAUACGGUGUGUCUUGUGAAGUAUUUAUGGAUCAUCAAAGUCUUUAGCACUUAUUCAAACAGAAUGAUCUAAAUUUGAGCCAAUUUAGAUGAUUGGAGCUAUUAAAGGACUAUGAUAUUACUAUUUUGUUCAUCCCGGGAAGGCCAAUGUGGUGCCCGGUGCAUUGUUGUUAGUGAGAGGCCACUUGCAUCAGAUGUUCAAGCCUUAGCCAAUCAAUUCGUGAGAUUAGAUGUUUCGGAGCCCAGUGGGGUUCUAGCUUGUGUGGUAUCUCGGUAUUCCUUAUAUGACCGUAUCAGAGAGUUCUAAUAUUAUGAUCCCCAUUUUCUUUUCCCUAAGGACACGGUUCAACACGAUGAUGCUAAAGAUGUUAAAAUUGGAGAUGAUGGGGUGUUGAGGAUGCAAGGUCGGAUCUGUGUACCAAAUAUAGAUGGACUGCGUGAGUUGAUUCUUGAGGAGGCCCACAUUUCGCGGUAUUCCAUUCAUUCGGGGUGCUGCAAAAAUGUAUCAGGACUUUAGGCAACAUUAUUGGUGGAGGAGGAUGAAGAAAGAUAUAACCGGGUUUGUAGCUAGGUGUUUAAAUUGUCAGUAGGUAAAGUACGAGUAUCAGAAUCUGGGCGGAUUGCUUCAAAAACUUGAAAUUCCGAAGUGAAAAUGGGAGCGUAUUACCAUGGACUUUGUAGUUGGACUCCUACGGACUUCGAGAAAGUUUGAUGCUAUUUGGGUGAUUGUGGAUCGGUUGGCCAAGUCCGAGUAUUUUAUUCCAGUUGGAACUACUUAUUAUUCAGAGCACUUGACUGAGAUUUAUAUUCGCGAGAUUAUUUGCCUUCACGGUGUUCCAGUGUACAUCAUUUCAGACCGGGGCAUGCAUUUCAUAUCACAGUUUUGGAGAGCAGUGCAACGAAAGUUAGGCACACAUGUUCAGCUGAGUACAUCAUUUCACACUCAGACAGACGGACAGCCCGUGCACACUAUUCAAAUAUUAGAAGAUAUGUUACGCACUUGUGUUAUAGAUUUCGGGGGUUCUUGGGAUCAGUUUCUGCCGCUGGUAGAGUUUGCCUAUAACAAUAGCUAACAAUCGAGCAUACAGAUGACUCCGUAUGAGGCUUUGUAUGGGAGACCGUGUCGGUCUCCGGUGGGUUGGUUUGAGCCGGGUGAGGCUAGGCUAUUGGGUAAUGAUUUAGUUCAGGAUGCUUUGGAAAAGGUUAAAUUGAUUCAGGAUCGACUUCGCACGGCGCAAUCUAGACAUAAUAGUUAUGCCGACCAGAAGGUUCGUGAUGUUGCUUACAUGGUGGGAGAGAAGGUACUACUCUGAAUUUCGCCUAUGAAAGGUGUUAUGAGGUUCGGGAAUAAGGGAAAGUUGAGCCCUCGGUAUAUUGGCCCUUUUGAAGUACUUAAGAGGAUUGGAGAGGUGGCCUAUGAACUUGCAUUGCCGCCUAGUCUAUCGGGUGUUCAUCCAGUGUUUCAUGUAUCCAUGCUCCAUAAGUAUGUCGGAGAUUCGUCUCAUGUUUUGGAUUUCAGUACGAUCCAGUUGGAUGGUGAUUUGACUUAUGAUGUGGAGCCGGUGGCCAUUUUGGACCGGCAUGUUCGAAAGUUGAGAUUAAAAAACAUAACUUAUGUGAAAGUGCAGUGGAGAGGCCAGCCAAUCGGAGAAGCUACAUGGGAGAUUGAGCGGGAGAUGCGGAGCAAAUAUCCACGCCUAUUUGAGACUCCAUGUAUGAUUCUAAAUUCGUUAGAGGACGAACGUUUGUUUAAGAUGAGGAGAAUGUAACGACCCGGCCGGUCGUUUUAAGUAUUACUACCAUGUUCACCCAUUUACUGAAUAAUUUAUGCUCAAUUGUGAUAAUGUGAUUUGUCGGGGAAGUUUCGGAAUGAAUUGGAACAUUUAGUUCCAAGAUUUAAGCUUAAGUUGAAAUAAUUGACCGGAUGUUGACUUAUGUUUAAACGACAUCAGAAUUGAGUUUUGAUAAUUUCAAUAGCUCAAUAUGAUGAUUUUGGACUUAUGAGUAUGUCAGAAUAUUUAUUUUGAAGUCCGUAGAAUAAAUUGAAGCUUUUUGGUGAAAGUUAGAAAUUAAAAUUCGAAAAUUUGACCGGGAGUUGACUUUAUUAAUAUCGAGCUCAGAUUUCGAUUCCCGAAAUUAGAAUAACUUUGUUAUGUCAUUUAUGACUUGUGUGCAAAAUUUGAAGUCAUUCCGGAUGAUUUAAUACGCUUAGGUGCAAAUUAUAGAAUUUGAAAAUUUCAUAACUCAUAAUUUGAUUCGAGGCGCGAUUCGUAGUUUUGGCGUUGUUUAAUGUGAUUCGAGGCCUCGAAUAAGUUUGUAUCAUUUUUUGGGAUUUGUUGGUAUGAUUUGACGAGGUCCCGAGGGGCUUGAGUGUAUUUUUGAAUUCUUGGUUGAGAGACUAGUAAAGUUAGGAAAUUUGGAGUUUGACCAUGGUCAAUAUCAGGUCAAUACGACCUAUUUUCAUUGGUUUGAGUGCGCGAGUAGGUCCGUAGUGUAUUUUAUGAUUGAAAUUCAUAUAUGGUUUGUGUCCGGAAGGUUCCUGAUGAGUUUCACGGUAGUUUUGUAUCAUUUAGGAGAAGUUUGGGUUUGUUGGUUUCUGAUGUGGCACUGUUCAUUUGCAUUUGCAGAUGCCAAGUUUUUGUACGCAAAUGUGAACCUGGGCAGAAGACUUAAGUAUCGAAAAUUGGUCAUUUUAUUCAUUUCGUUUUGGGGUUUGAAGCCUCGGUUUUGGGCGAAUUUGGAGGAGUUUUUCUCGAGUUUGAAUUGGGUAAGUAUUCCUCAACCGAAAUUGGUUAUAUUUCAUGAUUCUAUGGUUAUUUUAAUCAUUUAUUAGUGAAUCAAAUGGAAGAAAUUGAGAAAUUUGUAAAAUCUUUCAAAAAUAAAAAAUGAAGAUUUGGAGGUCGAAUUGUUAUUGGAAUUUGAUAAAAUUGGUGUGGCUGGACUUGUGGUUGAAUGAGUGUUCAUAUUUUAUAACUUUUGUCGGGUUCCAAGACGUGGCCCCCACUAUUGACUUUUGGUUGACUUUUCGAAUUUAAUUAGAAAAUUUAGUAUUUUCAUAUGGAAUUGAUUCCUAUAACUUGUGUUGAGUGUAUCAAAUAAAUUGUGACUAAAUUCGAGGCAUUCAGAGGCCAAUUCGCGAGGAAAUGGCUUAUUGGAAUAGAAAAUUUGCACGGUUUAAGGUAAGUAAUAUUUCUAAACUUGGUUCUGAGGGUAUGAAUCCUGAAUUACAUGUUAUAUGAAUUGUUUGGAGGUGACACACAUGCUAGGUGACAGGCGUGUGGGCAUGCACCAUAGAAAUUGCAUCUUAAUUGAUUCUGUGGAGUUGCAUAAUCAAAUAAUGAUGUCAUUAUCCACACAUCCUCUAUGUGUUAGAGAAAUUGAGUUGUGACUCGUAUUAAAGAUCAUGUUUAGGCUACGUGCCGAUAUUUUGGGACCCACAUGGGUCAUAUUGUUGUUGAAUUAAUCGUUUUAAAAAUGUAAAUUUCAUACUUAGUCAUGUCCAUCCAGUUGUGGGGAUAUUUAUGGGAUCGAGCUGCACGCCGCAGUAGGCCAUAUAUAUAAUUUAUAGAUCGGGGCUACAUGUCGCAACACCUUAUAGGUUUUAUUGUUAUGGGAUCGGGUUGCACGCCGCAGCAGGCCUAAAUGACUUAUUAUUAUAGCGCUUGGGCUGAAGGAACCCCUCCGGAGUCUGCACCCUCCACAGUGAGCGCAAUUGAUAUUAUAUUGAGGGAUGGAUCUUUCCUGGGCUGGAUUUGCCUCGUACAAUACUGAGUGAUUGAGUACUCUGAGAGUGUGAGUACGCGAGAUUUUCAUUAUGUUGUAUCACAUAUGACAUGUACAUUUGCAUGUAGAUAUAAAGAUGUCAUAUUCCUCAUAUCAUUCAGAUUUGAUCUAUUUUUCUUGUAUUGAGUUUAACUGUCGAACUUGAAAUGAUGUCUACAUUUCUAUACUAUUAUAUUCUAUGAUUAGACUGUAAUUGUUGAGCUCGUCACUACUUUCAGCCCAAAUGUUAGUCUUGUUACUUAUUGAGUACAUUGGGUCGGUCGUACUCAUACUACACAUUGCACUUUGUGUGCAGAUCCAGGUACUUCCGAAUACGGCGGUUGCUAGAUUUUGGAGAUUUGUUUGCUGGAGACUAUAGAGGUAGCUGCUUUGGCGUCCGCAAACCUUGACUCUCUUUCCUUUCAAUUAUUUGUACUGUUCUAUAUUUUUCAGACAAUGAUUUUAUCAGUCAGGUUGUGUUGUCAUUUAGAUGCUCAUGCACUUAGUGACACCGGUUUUGGAAUGUGUUGUAUAAAGAAA